rnacentral:tRNA from 1 species
GGAGGGUUGGCUGAGUGGACUAAAGCGGCGGUCUCGAAAACCGCUCCGCCUUACAGGCGGGCACAGGUUCGAAUCCUGUACCCUCCG